rnacentral:lncRNA from 1 species
CACUAAGGUUGUCUCACUUAUUUAACUUGACACAGGGAGUCCCCUCUGAGGUCUUUGAGAUUCCAGCCAGCAUUGGAAGUGACAGCCCAGAUAAGGCAGAAAGAGUUGAAUUUGCUACUUACCAAGAGAAGAAAAACAACACAAGAGUUUGGUGAAUGGGCAUGCUUUGGAUUCACACUGGAUCCUGGAAACAGAAUUGUCCCCUGUGGAUGUAGAAGUAUCAUGGUAACUCUCCUCAGGUUGCAUCUGCCAUCUUAUCAGAGCAAUCUGACUGCACUGAAG